UGGGCUGUAGCCAAGUGGUUAAGGCACCAGACUUUGACUCUGGCAUUCGUAGGUUCAAGUCCCACCAGCCCAGCCA
rnacentral:tRNA from 2 species